GGAGCCGCAGCUAGGCCCAGGCGCCGCGCCGCUGUUCCCAGGGACCUUGGAAGCAUAGAACAUGGUUCUGCUUUUCUGCCACUAACGUUCGCGGUCCUCCUCGGCUCCUCGCCGGUCUUCGUUGCCGUCCCUGAUCCGUUCUCGCUGUCCUGCUCCGGACUCACAGGUCAGUCCACGCCGCUCUACUUCUGUACUUCCCCGCCUUCGAGUUCGUGGCAAGGUUGUCUUCAUCUAUUCUAUGCUUGAUCUGCAGCCCUUGUUUUGCUCGUCGUAGAAUCUCUGGUGAUGGCGGGAGCUACGCCCAAGACCUCAUGGUUCUCACUGGACUGGCCAGUGUAUGAGAUUCGUGAGACGUUUUCUCCUAUCUCGGGGAAAAUCAGUACGC
rnacentral:lncRNA from 1 species